UCCAUUGCUCAGUUGGUAAAGCACAAAGCUCUUAACCUUGUGGACGUGGGUUCAAGCCCUGCCAUGGAA
rnacentral:tRNA from 1 species